GCAGUCGAGCGGUAGCACAGAGAGCUUGCUCUCGGGUGACGAGCGGCGGACGGGUGAGUAAUGUCUGGGAAACUGCCUGAUGGAGGGGGAUAACUACUGGAAACGGUAGCUAAUACCGCAUAAUGUCGCAAGACCAAAGUGGGGGACCUUCGGGCCUCAUGCCAUCAGAUGUGCCCAGAUGGGAUUAGCUAGUAGGUGGGGUAACGGCUCACCUAGGCGACGAUCCCUAGCUGGUCUGAGAGGAUGACCAGCCACACUGGAACUGAGACACGGUCCAGACUCCUACGGGAGGCAGCAGUGGGGAAUAUUGCACAAUGGGCGCAAGCCUGAUGCAGCCAUGCCGCGUGUAUGAAGAAGGCCUUCGGGUUGUAAAGUACUUUCAGCGGGGAGGAAGGUGUUGAGGUUAAUAACCUCAGCAAUUGACGUUACCCGCAGAAGAAGCGCCGGCUAACUCCGUGCCAGCAGCCGCGGUAAUACGGAGGGUGCAAGCGUUAAUCGGAAUUACUGGGCGUAAAGCGCACGCAGGCGGUCUGUCAAGUCGGAUGUGAAAUCCCCGGGCUCAACCUGGGAACUGCAUUCGAAACUGGCAGGCUAGAGUCUUGUAGAGGGGGGUAGAAUUCCAGGUGUAGCGGUGAAAUGCGUAGAGAUCUGGAGGAAUACCGGUGGCGAAGGCGGCCCCCUGGACAAAGACUGACGCUCAGGUGCGAAAGCGU
rnacentral:rRNA from 1 species